rfam:Prunus persica cultivar Lovell chromosome G1, whole genome shotgun sequence.
UGAGCAGGGAUUGUGUGUAUCGGCGUAGUGCUAGAAUCAAUGCACUCUGAUCCGAAAGAGUUCCCUGCAAUAUCAAAUUCGGGGAAGGUGGGCAGUUGUUUUUCAUGUUUACCCAUUGAAAUUUCAACAAUCAUCUUCCCCAUAUCU